UUUUUAAAUUUACAAAAAGGUUUAAGCACUCCUUCCUGAACUUCCCUUUAAUUCUUUAUACUGUUAAUUAUGAUCUGGGAGAUUGGAGAACCUUGUUAUUGUCCCCAGAGCUGCUACUCCAAAUUAUAGGUUUGUUUAUUUUUGUUUUACAACUUUAUAUCAGACUUCUCCUUCUUGUGAACAUGAUAAAAAGCUCAUCAGAGAAAAUUUACAUUCACUUUUUAAUCAGUGCAAGAUUUUAGCAAGACAGUAUCUACAUGAGAGGUAUAUUCUGUACUCUUAGAGGUUGGAACCAGAGUCCAGGAAAGGGAAUUAAUCCAUUUCAUCUAUCCAUCUAUUAUCCAUCCAUCAUCCAUCCAUCCAUCCUCCCACCUUCCAAUCUAUCCACCCAUCUGGCCAUCAAUUUUUGGAGGGCUUGAACUGGAUGACACAUCAAUUCAAUGAGAUUAUGUUCUGAUUUAAUAAUUUUUAGAAAAUGAAUAGAUUAGAUUCUAGGUCAAAACUGAUUGUCUGAUUAGAUUCUAGGUCAGCUUUGACUGAAUAUUAAAGUUGAUUUAGUGCAUAAUUUAAUUGGAGAAAACAAAAACAAAAGAAGAUAACCAAGGGGAGUCUAUUCUCUGUUUAUUGAGAUUCUUGCAGCUGUGGUUUUAUGCUUUGGUUCAGGUCAAGGCCUUGGUCAGGAGACAGGGCACUUGAUUUAGCAGUUAAGCAUGAGGCUCAUCUGUGUCUGGCACAUCUACAUCCAGUACAUCUACAUUCUAUACAAUGUCUUGAGGAAGACAUUUCGUUUCUAUCACUAGGCUAAAGAGAAGCCACCUUCACAGGCUCACUCGGCACCUAAAGACACUGGGAAUGAACAACAAGGUGGGUUAAUUUCUGGUCCGUCUGAAGUGCUGGUUAGCUGGGAUCAGAUAUCAGUAAGAUAAAUCCUUCAUGUCACAUAGGCAGUUACAUAUAGAUACAUAGAUAACUAACUGGACUGAUUUUUGUGACCAGAUGUGUUCAAGAUUGUCUGAAGAGACAGAGCCUUGGGAUGACCUUGCAUAAGACACUAAAACCCUCUGAGGUUAAUUUCCCCCCCUGCAAGGCCAGGGGAAGGAAUAAUUCUCAGGGGUGCAGUAUAUGGAGAGCAGAUAAGCGUCACAGUAUUUUUAAAGAAGCUCCGUUAUCACACACAAGGUCAGAUCAAACGAAAAUGAAAUGUUCUCUCGUAGCAUCUCCAAGUGUCAGCAAGUGAAUUCUAGUCAUGCUUUGUAUUCACAGACAGGAAAUGUCUAUUCAGAAGGAAUGAAUAAUAGAUAACUACUUUCUUUGCUUUACACCUAGUUAUAAUUCUACAACUAACAUAAUUUUAAAUGAGUUCCCUUCUUCUCAGUGAUGUUUCAUAUUCGAGUUACAUACUGUAACCUCAAAACUCAGCAGCAUGAAAAAUCAAACAGCUGGGGAAAAUAUAUUGCUAAUUUUCCCACCAAUUUACCACCCCCUGCCCUCUUGCUCCAGACUCUCUGCCCAGUUCUUAGGCAAAUGGUAUAUCCUAAGUCCCUCUACUCUCAUCAAGAUGAUGGACCCCAGCCAAUCUUAGAUCCCGUUUUUAUUUGCUGGGGUUUAAAACCAAGGUUUAUUCUCGCAGUGGUAUGUUAAAUACCUCAUUUGCUGAAUCAUACCUGAAAUAAAUUUAACAAAAUUGUUUUUGAAAUUGCACGUAGUGUUCAUUUUUAGUGUUAUAUAGCUCAUGAGUAGUAAUUUAUGUUUAGUAGGAAGUAGUAAUAAAAACUUAGCCUGGUUUUUAAGAAUUGUAGAUUAUGUUGUUGUUACAUAUAAUAUAUUAAUUGUAAGAUGAAAGGGAAUCAGGGUGAAAGAAUAACACAGCUUUGGCUGGGAAGAAAUCAUAGGCACAGUUUUAUUAACUGUUCCUUAAAAAAAAAACAGUUCUGAGAGCCGAAGUGACUUGUUCAAGGUCACACAGCUGGUUAGCUCCAGAGUUGGCCCUAAAUCUCACAGUUUUUGGCGUCUGGUCCGGCACACUUCCCAUCACAACAUGCAGCCUCUUAGUUUGUUGGUUUUGGGUCAGAAAUAUAAUUAACACAGGGCAUGAAGCCUAGAUUAUGAAAAAGUUGGAGGGGAAAUCUAAUAAAAAUCAAGCUUUUAUGAAAGUCCUAGGCAAUCAACCUACUCUGUGAUAUAUUUCAUGGUGUCCAGCUGCAAGUGGAGUUUGGCGAGUGGCUCUUCUUUCCUCUUUGACCUCCUGGUUCUCUUCCUAAACUGGUGAUUUAAGAGUCUACAGUUGGUGCAUGACACUAGCAGAGUGAAAAAAAUAACAUAGCAAUAAAUAACUGUAAACAGAAAAGUACAAACACAGUAAAAAUACAGAGGGAAGUAAUACAGUAAUAAGAGCAGUACGAGUCCAAGUAUUCUGACGGGAGACGAUGAAGCAGUGGAUGGGGAGCACCCCUCCACAAGUUUAGCCAUGGCAAAUAAGGAAAAGCAGUGUUUGGUGUCAAAUCAUAAUAUAAAAGUGUGGCACAAUGAAAACCAAGAUGGCACAAAUACAAAAGGGGUGAGGGUUAGGACUCUGAUGCAGACCCACUGGCCACACAGAUGGCAUGAGGCAUGGGAUGAAACCGAGCCUAAGGAAUUGUAAAUUAACGCCAAGGCCACAUAGAAUCCUAUUCAAAUGUAUACACAGAAGUAUAGUAUGUGUAUGUAUAUAUACGCACACAGAUAUGUUUGCAUUCCUUAGUUAUAUUUAUAAUUCCAUUGGCUGAUAAAUGAUAUCCCCAGGAAUUGCUCAGAUGCCAAGUGGAUCUCAUUAACAAUUACAGUCAAGAUGCUGGGAGAGGCAGGCUAAGUAGCACCUCUUACGGAAUGACUCAUUCCUCCUGGGCUAGAUAUCCAUGACACCUUUCUUCAUCCCUACCUGCUAACAACCUGUGUCUUCUCACAAGAUCCUAGUCUACUGACUCUUUUGUCUUGAUAGACACAAUUAGAGAAGAUCCUAUGCUUAUCUAUCCAUUAUUUAUCCGUUGGCAUGUAUGUAGAAAUUAUUUUCCAGUAUCCCUCUUCAAUGGUGAUUCUGUGGGGAGGGGAAUCACGAUGAUGAGACUGCUCUAUAGCUCUAGUGACACAGUCUCUCAGUGGAUCAACUCUCUUAGAGGGAAGACACUGGAUGUUUGACAUACUCCUAGACAUGAUCAUUCUUUUGGCUAUUGACUCAUAUAAUCAAUUCCAGUUGACAUCAGAAUGUUUAUAUUUAACUUGUCUUUAUUUAUAAAUUUACAUUUAUAUAUUAAUUUAUAGUUUUAUUUUAAUUUCUAUUGACUUAAUUAGUUGCAUUCUCUAUGCUGAGAUGUCCCUUCCUGAUACCAAGUUACCCAAGAAGUGCAUUUAAUCUGCAUGCUGAUUGGUGUGCAUAGAGUGAAAAUUGCUUUGAAAGGAUGUUUCAUAUAAACUUUAGAAAAACCCAUUGAAGUACCCCUACUCAAUAACCAAAUACACUGCUCUGGUGACCAGAAAAUGGAGUUCCCAAAUUCAGUGCCCUAUUACCAUCAACAUUAUGAGUUCCUUUGGAGUGGAGAAAGUGGUGAAGAACAAAAUUGACAAGCUAUAUGUAAUCGGCAGAAUUCCCCUCCCCUUCUCCAAGAUGUCCAUGCCCUGAUCCUUGGAGGCUGGAGUUUGUGAAUAUGCUUUCUGACAUGACAAAAAGGACUUUGCAUCUGCAACUAAGAUUAUGGACAUGGAUUAUUGAAGUGAGCUCAGUGUAAUCAUACAAAGCCCUUCAAAGCAGAGCAUUUUCUCUGGUUGGAGUCAGAGAUAUGCAGUGGAAUUGGGGGUGGGAGAGGGAAUCAGAUUUUGAGUGUGAGAAGGACUUGCAGUGCUGCUUGCUCUGAAUGUAGGGAUCUGCCUGCGAGGACUGAAGAGAGACCUUUAGGUGCAAAGAGUAGCCCUUGGCUGACAACCGUUGCGCAAACGGGGCCUCAGUCCUGCAAUCCCAAGGAACAAAACUCUGACAACUUGAAUAAGCUUGGAAGCAGAUUCCUUCUUAGAGCCUUCAGAAAGGAAAGCAGCUCUGCCCACAUUUUGAUUUGAUCUGUGAAACCUGGAGCAGAGGAACCAUUAAAGCCAUGCCCUGCCCAGACUUCUGAUGCAUGGAAGUUGUGAAAUAAUAAAUGUUUUGUUUUGAAAGUCGUUUUCAGCCUUUGAAUUUUGGUAAUUUGUUGCUUCAGCAGUAGAAAACCAAAACACUAUGUUAUAUGUUCAGGUUCAAUCUAAGAAUAUCAUCUGAGAAAAACAAUACAGCUGUGCCUGUGAACACACACCCCCAAACAGAAUUCAAAGGCCAAGGACAGUGAAACCCAAAAUAGGUUGUUCAAAUACCAACUGUUAUCUGUAAGAUAACGAAAAGUAAACAUCUGGUUCUUUGCAUAAUUGUGAUCAAAGGAGCAUAAUAUGUUUUGCACACAUUUAGAGGAAAACCAAUGCCUUAGGAUUUUCAUCAGGGAAGAACUGUACAGGUGUCAAACUGGGGUUCAGGACACUGAACCACUCCCUGUGUUAUAAUAACAAGGAAGUAGCUGUACAAAUCUAAUCUGGGUGGGUAAGAGAGCAGUUAGAAUGCCCAGCAGAAGAUCAGACCACCUCAGUCAACAUCCUGGGAGAAACUAUGGGGAAGGCAAAAGAAAGAGGACAGAGAAAAGGGUUUUCUCUGGGCCCACUUUUUAUGCUUAUCACUCAUCUCCAGUUGACACACUUUUGCUGGCACUUCCGCCUGGUUCUAGGGUUGGGCAUAGGAUCCAGGACUGUGGCCAAAAAGUGGUCCAAAAAGCACUGAGAUUUUUUUUGGUGUGUGUGCUGUCUUUCCACUGGUGUCCCUAAACUGGUAGGAUGAAUGCUCGGAUUGUUGGGGGUCCUCUCGCCAUCCUGUGGGAAGAGCAUCCCUGGGAAAGAAGUCAGCACAGACAAAGCAGAACUGAGAAGAUGCGGCAAGACAGAUACCUGACACCAAUUUUUGAGCAUUUAGAUCCAGCUGAGCCUCUGGAUUUUAGUCUGGACUUUUCAGUUGCUUGUUUAAAGGUAAUGUGAAGUGGAUUUUUGUCCCUUGACAUAGAAAGAAUCCUCCCAAAACUGUCUUAAUUACCAUGUCAUUGCAGAUGACUUGCACUUUUUUUUUUUUUUUUUUUUUUUAGGGCUGCAUCUGCGGCAUGUGGAAAUUCUCAGGCUAGGGUCAAAUCGGAGUUGUAGCCUCUGGCCUACGCCACAGCCAUAGCAACAUGGGAUCUGAGCCACUUCUGUGACCUACACCACAGCUCACAGCAAUGCUGGAUCCUUAACCCACUGAACGAGGCCAGGCAUUGAACCUGUGUCCUCAUGGAUGCUAGUCACUUUAAUUUCUGCUGAGCCACGGCGGGAACCCAUAACUUGCACGUCUCUGUUAACCCAUUUCAAGUUGCCUUUAGAGGGUCUACACUGGAG
ensembl:lncRNA